UGACCUCAAAUCAGGUAGGACUACCCGCUGAACUUAAGCAUAUCAAUAAGCGGAGGAAAAGAAACUAACAAGGAUUCCCCUAGUAACUGCGAGUGAAGCGGGAAAAGCUCAAAUUUAAAAUCUGGCAGUCUUUGGCUGUCCGAGUUGUAAUCUAGAGAAGUGCUAUCCGCGCUGGACCGUGUACAAGUCUCCUGGAAUGGAGCGUCAUAGAGGGUGAGAAUCCCGUCUUUGACACGGACUUGCCAGGGCUUUGUGAUGUGCUCUCGAAGAGUCGGGUUGUUUGGGAAUGCAGCUCAAAAUGGGUGGUAAAUUCCAUCUAAAGCUAAAUAUUGGCGAGAGACCGAUAGCGAACAAGUACCGUGAGGGAAAGAUGAAAAGAACUUUGGAAAGAGAGUUAAACAGUACGUGAAAUUGCUGAAAGGGAAACGCUUGAAGUCAGUCGCGUUGUCCAGGGAUCAACCUUGCUUUUGCUUGGUGCACUUUCUGGUUGACGGGUCAGCAUCAAUUUUGACUAUUGGAAAAAGAUUAGGGGAAUGUGACAUCUUUGGAUGUGUUAUAGCCCUUGGUUGCAUACAAUGGUUGGGAUUGAGGAACUCAGCACGCCGCAAGGCCGGGUUUCAA
rnacentral:rRNA from 1 species